rnacentral:lncRNA from 1 species
GUACUAGUUGUGUGUAGAGGAGGGGGGAGUCCAGACAAUGCAGAGAUCACAUGGCCUGGAGAAACCCUGGUACCAUCCUCAGAAAAGAUAAAUCCAGGUCCCAGCUGCUCUGCCAGGGUCUUGGGGGCCCUUCUCAGCACCUUUGGCCUGGGCCUGGGCCCAGCACAGUUCUGGAGGCUUCUCUCUGCCUUUCAUAGACAGCAUUCAGAGCCCGAUCAAGCAACUCCAGCGACCUAUCCACAUCCUGGAGGGGACUCUCUUGGAGCAUUGGAGGGGACGGCAUCUUGGACACCCACACCACACUGCCCAGUAAGUAGCAACAUUGAAGUGCCAUUGCUACAGCUGGGCCAGGGCCUCCCCCAACCCCGAGCAAGGGCUGAGAAGUGAUCUGCAGCGAGGGAAGUCAGCCAGCCCUGAAAAGACCCAGAAUCAGCCUACCCCACCCCUGAGCCCCAAGGCCCCCUUCCCCUCUCACCUUUGCUGUCUGCUUCACCCUUUUAAAAGACAUUUUGAAGAAGUUCAACCCUCACAUCCUCGGGUUCUCCACCGGUACCCUAGAGGAGACAGCAGGGCUGAAUGUAGCCAUGGAAGGAGCCAGAGCUAGGUGAGUAGCUGUGGGUACAGGAGGGGGCAGAGGAGAGCCUGAGAGAUCAGGGUGGGGAAUGGGAGGAGGAGAGAAGGGUGCUGUCUGGGAGCCUGGGCCCAGAUGGGCCAUGAAAGUGGCUGUGCACAGAGCCCUGCUGCGUGCCCGACCCCUCACGUGGGUUACCUCCCGGAAUCCUCACACCUUUGAGGGGGUUACCAGCAGGAAGACACUGAGACUUAGAAGGUUUCCCAAAUGGCCCAAAUGACAGGCCCCCUGGGCUGUCACCCCGGCAGCAGGAGCACCUGCUGACUCCAGCCAACCUCCUGGCCCCAGGGAGGCUGGGAACCAGUGUGCAGCCUGCUGAGAACUCACAGCCCGGCCCCAUGGACAGCCACCCUCCCUCUCUCCACCCUCACCUCGGAACCUAGAGUCCUUGAGUCUGAGAGAGCUGUAUUUUGACACUGGGGGGUUAGAUGUUAAGGCCCCCAGAACAGCAUGGUGGCUGUUUGUUUUCACUCCGAUUUCUGUUGUUGACAACAACCCAGAUAAUUAACGCUGGAAUGCCUGACAGAGUUCAUUGAUUUUUCUGCACAGAGUGUGCUGGGUAUUUGCUUUGUAGAAGGAUUGCUGCGCUCAGAUCACCAGGGAAACGACACUGGCUUGACUCAUUCUGUUUACACGGAGCGUUCCUUUCCGACGUGGUAAGGAGGGCCCCACGCUCCGAGUGAGUCUCUGAGCCACAGGAAGCCGGGGCAGUUCCUCAACGUCAGAAGCAGGAAGAACUUAUUUUUCUGCAAAAGA